rnacentral:snoRNA from 1 species
AUACCAUGAUGAGGACAUUUUCUGAGUAACUCCUUAAAUCUCUCUCAUGCGUAACACAAGCUCUCAUCUUCAAGUUGAUGGAAAGAUGUGAUCUCGUUUCUCAACUU